GGGGCUAUAGCUCAGCUUGGAAGAGCGCUACAAUGGCAUUGUAGAGGCCGUCGGUUCGAGCCCGACUAGCUCCA
rnacentral:tRNA from 1 species